UGAGCAACCUGCCCUUGACUCCGGAAUAACAGCUGGAAACAGCUGCUAAUACCGGAUAUGACCUCCGAUGGCAUCAUCUGGAGGUGGAAAGCUCCGGCGGUCAAGGAUGGGCUCGCGGCCUAUCAGCUUGUUGGUGAGGUAACGGCUCACCAAGGCUUCGACGGGUAGCCGGCCUGAGAGGGCGACCGGCCACACGUGGGACUGAGAUACGGCCCAGACCUCUACGGGA
rnacentral:rRNA from 1 species